rnacentral:rRNA from 1 species
GACGAACGCUGGCGGCGUGCCUAAUACAUGCAAGUCGAACGCACAGUUUAUACCGUAGCUUGCUACACCAUACACUGUGAGUUGCGAACGGGUGAGUAACGCGUAGGUAACCUGCCUGGUAGCGGGGGAUAACUAUUGGAAACGAUAGCUAAUACCGCAUAAUAUUAAUUAUUGCAUGAUAAUUGAUUGAAAGAUGCAAUUGCAUCACUACCAGAUGGACCUGCGUUGUAUUAGCUAGUAGGUGAGGUAACGGCUCACCUAGGCGACGAUACAUAGCCGACCUGAGAGGGUGAUCGGCCACACUGGGACUGAGACACGGCCCAGACUCCUACGGGAGGCAGCAGUAGGGAAUCUUCGGCAAUGGACGAAAGUCUGACCGAGCAACGCCGCGUGAGUGAAGAAGGUUUUCGGAUCGUAAAGCUCUGUUGUAAGAGAAGAACGGGUGUGAGAGUGGAAAGUUCACACUGUGACGGUAUCUUACCAGAAAGGGACGGCUAACUACGUG